rnacentral:rRNA from 1 species
UAAGGAAUAUUGCUCAAUGGGGGAAAUCCUGAAGCAGCAACGCCGCGUGGAGGAUGAAGGGUCUAUGACUUGUAAACUCCUGUAAAGAAGGAAAAAAUUCCCAUUAGAUGGGAGAUGAUGGUACUUCUGGAGUAAGCCCCGGCUAACUACGUGCCAGCAGCCGCGGUAAUACGUAGGGGGCAAGCGUUGUCCGGAUUUACUGGGUGUAAAGGGUGCUCAGGCGGAUUUGUAAGUCAGAGGUGAAAUCUUACAGCUUAACUGUGAAACUGCCUUUGAUACUGCAAGCCUAGAGUAUGGAAGAGAGUGAUGGAAUAUCUGGUGUAGCAGUGAAAUGCGUAGAUAUCAGAUAGAACACCAAUGGCGAAGGCAGUCACUUGGUCCAUUACUGACGCUAAAGCACGAAAGCGUGGGUAGCAAACA